UACGUAGGGGGCAAGCGUUGUCCGGAAUCAUUGGGCGUAAAGCGCGCGUAGGCGGCCCGGUAAGUCCGUUGUAAAAGUCGAAGGCUCAACCUUCGAAAGACCGAUGGAUACUGCCGGGCUAGAGUCCGGAAGAGGCGAGUGGAAGUUCCUGGUGUAGCGGUGGAAUGCGCAGAUAUCAGGAGGAACACCCAUAGCGAAGGCAGCUCGCUGGGACGGUAACUGACGCUGAGGCGCGAAAGCGUGGGGAGCGAACAGGAU
rnacentral:rRNA from 1 species